AAGCGAUGAUAUCAAGGGGCGUGCCAAGAGCGUUGCUUGGUUGAGCUGGCGGGAGGGGUUGCACAGUGAAACCUCAACUUGGCGUAAGCAUUUUUGCCGAAAGAAAAUGUAAAUA
rnacentral:ncRNA from 1 species